rnacentral:rRNA from 1 species
GCAAUUAAAUCUAGCCCAACAACAGACAAUUAAUCCCACCAAACAAUAAUUACACUACCAAAAACUUAACUAAAACAUUCUACUAUCUAAGUAUAGGUGAUAGAAAA